UAUCGUUUAUUUGAUAGUACCUUACUACUUGGAUAACCGUGGUAAUUCUAGAGCUAAUACAUGCGAAAAACCCCGACUUCGGAAGGGGUGUAUUUAUUAGAUAAAAAACCAAUGCCCUCCGGGGCUCUCUGGUGAUUCAUAAUAACUAAACGAAUCGCAUGGCCUUGCGCCGGCGAUGGUUCAUUCAAAUUUCUGCCCUAUCAACUUUCGAUUGUAGAGUAGUGGUCUACAAUGGUUUCAACGGGUAACGGGGAAUUAGGGUUCGACUCCGGAGAGGGAGUCUGAGAAACGGCUACCACA
rnacentral:rRNA from 1 species